GUGUGAUGACUGGCCACACCGGGUGAUAGACUUAUUAUCAAAGGAUGAGGCCGGAAAGGAUUAUAUUUCUCGUUCCAAAGAUGAUGUACAUUUGAAUGACGGAGCUGCUCGCCCGAGUCAUCAUCGCCUUUCUCAUGAAAAUAGCAAGUUGGGAAGCUGGCUUGUUAUCAAUGAUAGGCGUGGCUCUGAAUACGACGGAGUUGCCCGCUCGAGUCAUCAUCGCCUUUCUCAUAAGACCAAGUUGCGAGGCUGGCUUGUAAUCAAUGAUCGAUAAGCUAUUAAUAAACAUGGCGACGUGAUUUAGGUUCUCACCUACCACUCACGUGUGUGCUUCACUCUCGUGUGAAGCGUUAGCCAGUGAAUCAGCGUAA